UACAGAGGGGGCGAGCGUUGUUCGGAAUUACUGGGCGUAAAGGGCGCGUAGGCGGCCUUCUAAGUCGAACGUGAAAUCCCCGGGUUCAACCCGGGAACUGCGUCCGAUACUGGGAGGCUUGAAUCCGGGAGAGGGAUGUGGAAUUCCAGGUGUAGCGGUGAAAUGCGUAGAUAUCUGGAGGAACACCGGUGGCGAAGGCGGCAUCCUGGACCGGUAUUGACGCUGAGGCGCGAAAGCCAGGGGAGCAAACGGG
rnacentral:rRNA from 1 species